rnacentral:lncRNA from 1 species
UCUUUCUUUGCUACAAAUAUGACUGGUGCUCCCCAUGGUGAUGAGCUAGGGCGAAUGAACCCAUUAUCCAAUAAUUCUUUUAAUUGUUUCUUAAGCUCUUUUAAUUCAUCAACGGAUAUUCUAUAUGGACGCUUAGGAAUAGAUGUAGUACCACGUAAAAGAUUAACAAACUCAAUAUCUCGAUCAGAUGGCAUACCUGGUAACUCAUCUGGAAAUACAUCCGGGUAGUCACACACCACUUUGAUAUCCUCCCAAGCUUUCCUAUCCAACUAAUUCACCGUACAAUCUGCUACUUAUGGUAGAGUAGCCACAAACUCAAUCCUUUCUCCAUCAGGGCUUGUAAGAAGAAAUGACCUCUUGGCACACUGAAUCACAGCAUCACAAGCUGACAACUAUCCCAUCCCAUCCCAAGAAUCACAUCAAUCCCACUUGAUUCCAAUACUCGCUAUCCUAUCCCUCUUUCAUUCUCCUACGCCGAUCAGAGUGGCCCAGAAGUCUCUACGCAGUAUUAUGAGGUUAAUCUUUGGACAAGAAUAGGGUGCUUCCAUAUUUUCCCGAGGUGAGCUAACUAAUAUGGGAUGUUUCAUGUUGCAGAUGGGAAGAUUGUGCUUGGACACAUAUUGAGA